UUCAUAAACUAAAGCUUAAUCUUAGGCGUUGCUAAACAAAAUUGAAAAUAUGGAGAAAUUCAUUGUCAUUGUAGAUAUAUCCAACAGGUUCCAAGGUCAAUCCCCCACUUCAUGUGCAAAACAUGUUAAAGGACUAUCUUGCUUGUGUUGAAGAAAUCGAAGCAUCCUUGUCAACCAUAAUGCUUGUGUAGCACUACUUGUUGCAAUCAUAUACUCUGUUUCAGCAGUUCAUAAAGCAACAACUUGUUGUUUCUUUGAAGACCAUGAAAAUACACUAGAUCCCAAAUAAAAUGUAUAGCCAGAAGUACUUUUUCUUUGCAUCAUAUCACUAGCCCAAUCACUAUCAGUUAAUCCAACAAGAUUACUAUCAUUAGUAUUUGAAUAAAAUAUGUCAUCAGAGUGUGUACCUUAAAUAUAUCUCAAAAUUCUCUUGA